rnacentral:rRNA from 1 species
UGGGGAAUAUUGGACAAUGGGCGAAAGCCUGAUCCAGCCAUGCCGCGUGAGUGAUGAAGGCCUUAGGGUUGUAAAACUCUUUCGCCGGGGAAGAUAAUGACGGUACCCGGAGAAGAAGCUCCGGCUAACUUCGUGCCAGCAGCCGCGGUAAUACGAAGGGAGCUAGCGUUGUUCGGAAUUACUGGGCGUAAAGCGCACGUAGGCGGGCUAUUAAGUCAGGGGUGAAAUCCCGAGGCUCAACCUCGGAACUGCCUUUGAUACUGAUAGUCUUGAGAUCGGGAGAGGUGAGUGGAAUUCCUAGUGUAGAGGUGAAAUUCGUAGAUAUUAGGAAGAACACCAGUGGCGAAGGCGGCCAACUGGCUCGAUACUGACGCUGAGGUGCGAAAGCGUGGGGAGCAAACAGGAUUAGAUACCCGGGUAGUCCCUG